rnacentral:rRNA from 1 species
CAAUAAGCUACAUAAGAGCGUAUGGGGAAUGCCUAGGCUCUCAGAGGCGAUGAAGGACGUGAUACUCUGCGAUAAGCGUAGGUGAGCCGAGAAUAGGCUUUGACCCUACGAUCUCCGAAUGGGGCAACCCACCUUAGAAGUCAGAGUACAGAGGGCGGACGGAUGGAUAUCUGUCUGACCGUCCGGUCUGUGUUCUCUGGCUUCUGUAAAAGGUAUCUUGACCUGAAUACAUAGGGUUCAAGAAGCGAACCCGGGGAACUGAAACAUCUAAGUACCCGGAGGAAAGGAAAUCAACAGAUACUCCCCUAGUAGCGGCGAGCGAACGGGGACCAGCCGAGCGAUGAGAGUGACAAGAACAACCUGGAAAGGUUGGCCAGAGUGGGUGACAGCCCCGUAUUGGAAGCUCAAUUCGACGUAUUAAGUAGGGCGGGACACGUGAAAUCCUGUCUGAACAUCGGAGGACCAUCCUCCAAGGCUAAGUACUCCUUACUGACCGAUAGUGAACCAGUACCGUGAGGGAAAGGUGAAAAGCACCCCGACGAGGGGAGUG